GUUGUGAGAGCAAGAGCCCGGAGAUGGAUUCUGAGACACGAAUCCAGGCCCUACGGGGUGCAGCAGGCGCGAAAACUUUACAAUGCUGGCAACAGCGAUAAGGGAACCUCGAGUGCCAGGUUACAAAUCUGGCUGUCGAGAUGCCUAAAAAGCAUUUCAUAGCAAGGGCCGGGCAAGACCGGUGCCAGCCGCCGCGGUAACACCGGCGGCUCGAGUGGUAACCGUUAUUAUUGGGUCUAAAGGGUCUGUAGCCGGCCGGAUAAGUCUCUUGAGAAAUCUGGCAGCUUAACUGUCAGGCUUUCAGGAGAUACUGUCUGGCUCGAGGCCGGGAGAGGUGAGAGGUACUUCAGGGGUAGGGGUGAAAUCUUGUAAUCCUUGAAGGACCACCAGUGGCGAAGGCGUCUCACCAGAACGGACCUGACGGCAAGGGACGAAAGCUAGGGGCACGAACCGGAUUAGAUACCCGGGUAGUCCUAGCCGUAAACGAUACUCGCUAGGUGUCGGCCACGGUGCGACCGUUGUCGGUGCCGUAGGGAAGCCGUGAAGCGAGC
rnacentral:rRNA from 1 species